rnacentral:rRNA from 1 species
GAACUUAAGCAUAUCAAUAAGCGGAGGAAAAGAAACUAACAAGGAUUCCCCUAGUAACUGCGAGUGAAGCGGGAAAAGCUCAAAUUUAAAAUCUGGCGGUCGUAAUGGCCGUCCGAGUUGUAAUCUAGAGAAGUGCUUUCCGCGCUGGACCGUGUACAAGUCUCCUGGAACGGAGCGUCAUAGAGGGUGAGAAUCCCGUCUUUGACACGGACCGCCAGUGCUAUGUGAUGCGCUCUCUAAGAGUCGAGUUGUUUGGGAAUGCAGCUCAAAAUGGGUGGUGAAUUCCAUCUAAAGCUAAAUAUUGGCGAGAGACCGAUAGCGAACAAGUACCGUGAGGGAAAGAUGAAAAGCACUUUGGAAAGAGAGUUAAACAGUACGUGAAAUUGUUGAAAGGGAAACGCUUGAAGUCAGUCGCGUCCGCCGGGACUCAGCCUUGCAACCUUGCCUGGUGUACUUUCCGGCGGACGGGCCAGCAUCAAUUUUGACCGUCGGAAAACGGUGGGGGAAAUGUGGCACCCUCGGGUGUGUUAUAGUCCCCCGUCGCAUACGUCGGUUGGGAUUGAGGAACUCAGCACGCCUUUACGGUCGGGGUUCGCCCACGUUCGUGCUUAGGAUGCUGGCGUAAUGGCUUUAAACGACCCGUCUUGAAACACGGACCAAGGAGUCUAACAUGCCCGCGAGUGUUUGGGUGGAAAACCCAUGUGCGUAAUGAAAGUGAAAGUUGGGACCUCUGUCGUGGAGGGCACCGACGCCCGGACCAGACCUUCUGUGACGGAUCCGCGGUAGAGCGUGUAUGUUGGGACCCGAAAGAUGGUGAACUAUGCCUGAAUAGGGUGAAGCCAGAGGAAACUCUGGUGGAGGCUCGUAGCGAUUCUGACGUGCAAAUCGAUCGUCAAAUUUGGGUAUAGGGGCGAAAGACUAAUCGAACCAUCUAGUAGCUGGUUCCUG